GUGUUUUCAUGGUACAACGGUUAAGCGUGCUGCUCAAUCGCUGUGCCAUGAAAACAUUU
rnacentral:pre_miRNA from 1 species